CUUGAUUAGUGGCGCACGGGUGAGUAAUGCAUAGAUAAUGUGCCCCUUAGUUCGGGAUAGCCACUGGAAACGGUGAUUAAUACCGGAUACUCCUUCUCGUUAUAAGACGAGUCGGGAAAGUUUUUCGCUAAGGGAUCAGUCUAUGUUCCAUCAGCUUGUUGGUGAGGUAAUGGCUCACCAAGGCUAUGACGGAUAUCUGGUUUGAGAGGAUGAUCAGACACACUGGAACUGAGACACGGUCCAGACUCCUACGGGAGGCAGCAGUGAGGAAUAUUGCACAAUGGAGGAAACUCUGAUGCAGCAACGCCGCGUGGAGGAUGACGCAUUUCGGUGUGCAAACUCCUUUUAUUAGGGAAGAUAAUGACGGUACCUAAUGAAUAAGCACCGGCUAACUCCGUGCCAGCAGCCACGGUAAUACGGAGGGUGCAAGCGUUACUCGGAAUCACUGGGCGUAAAGGGUGCGUAGGCUGGCUUUUAAGUCAGAUGUGAAAUCCAAUGGCUCAACCAUUGAACUGCAUUUGAAACUGAAAGCCUAGAGUUCAGAAGGGGCAGAUGGAAUUAGUGGCGUAGGGGUAAAAUCCGUAGAUAUCACUAGGAAUAUCAAAAGCGAAGGCGAUCUGCUGGGAUGAUACUGACG
rnacentral:rRNA from 1 species